rnacentral:lncRNA from 1 species
UUUUUUUCCCCAGUGCACAGAUUGGACCCAGGGCCUUAUGCAUGAUCAGCAAGCACUUUUACCACUGAGCUACACCCCAGCCCCUGAUCAUUUUAAAUAGGGUUAUUUGCCUUUUAUUAUUGAGUUGUGAGUUUUUAAUGUAUUUUAGAUAAAAGUUCCUUAACAGAUAUAUGAAUUGUAGACAUUUUCUCCCAUUUUGAGGGUUGUUUUUCCAUUCUUUCUCUCUCUAGGCAUUUACAGUUAUAAAUUUUCCUCUAAUCACUGCUUUAGAUACAUCCAUGUUCUGAUACAUUAUUUUAGUAUGUUAUAUACUCACUUGUAUACAUCUUCAAAUUUAUAUGAUUUCUAAUUUCCCUUACAUUUUUGCUUUGAUUCAUUGGUUAUCUGGGAGUGUUGUUCAAUUUCUACAUAUUUGUGAAUUCCUAAAAUGUCUUUGUUAUUGAUCUCUAUUUUCAUGCCAUUGUGGUGAAAGAACACGUUUGUAUAAUUUCAGGCUUUUAAAAUGUAUUGAUUCUUAUUUUAUGAUUUAACAUAUGGUCUGUCAUGGAGAAUGUUUGCACUUGAGAAGUUACUGUAUUCUGCUGUUGUUGGGUGAAAUGUUCUGUAGGUGUCUGCUAGGGAUAGAUGAUUUAUAGUGUUAAAUCUUCUCUUGCUGAACUUCUGUCUAGUUCUAGGCAUUAUUGAUAGCAGCAUGGCCUUGAACAAUUAUUGUGGUUUUGUGGAAGUAUUUAACUUUAUUUUAACUGAUACAUAAAAACUUAAAAAUUGAAUGUAUUUGUGAGAUACUACAUAAUGUUUUGAUA